UCUUCAGAUGAUUCAAUUAAUUUAAUAAAAUACGGAUUAGCAUUUAGAGCAUAUAUAGUAAUGAAAAUAUAAUUACGGUCUUUUAUUGAUAUUUAUCUAGCAUAAGGAAAUAGCAGAGAAAUUACUUUCGUCUUAAUUUUAUUUGUUCUAAAAUAUCAGAAAUUUAUUGAUGAGAUACAUAGUAACAUAUAAAUAUAUAUAUCUAAAUAAUCGAUAAAUGCUUUCGUAGCUUCAUCUCAUCACCGUGACGCAACACCAUUGUAAGAUCAGUCGACUUUUAGAAACAAUAAGUAAUAAAGAGCAUAAAACAGCCAUCGAAAUAGAAAUGUGAAUGAUUUUGUUGUGAUGAUAUAACAUUUAAUAUGUUUACAAACGAUUAUAUAAUUAUAUCAACACAAUAAAAAAUUAGACAUAUUUUUAACAUGAUGCAUAUUGCUGCAUCUCAAGUUGAAAAUAUAUAAAUAUCAUGAAGAUUUUCUCCAUAUACGACGCCCGUUUAAUGCCGUGACCAUAGUUAUUUCCGUAAUGGCGUCAUCCCGUUACAAAAUAUGAAUUUUCUCAAAGAGUAAUGAAUUACAGAUAACUAGAUUAAUAUACAAAUUACGAUUAGAUCAAAGUUAUCAGUUAGACAAAAGAUUUUACAAUAAGAGAUAACAAUUGUAAAAACAAUCAAUUUUUUUCAAAGUUAAAGUGUUUGGCAUGGAGAGGAACAUUAGCAGUCGUAAUGAUACAUUUAUCGUUGCUAGACUAAAAACAGUAUAUGCUAUAAAUCUAAAUAAUGUUUACGUGAAAAGCUGUGAGAAUAAUAUUUUUAUGUUUUAAAUUUAUACACGUUAUGAUAAAUUUGUGAAAGUCACCAUACCCUUAAAUUACUUGAAUAAUUAUAAAAUUUCGAAUAAUGUGAUUCGUAAUAAAAUUAGUGCUUUAAAUAUAUAAAAAUAUACUUUCAUUCGGGGAAAAAAGUGUAUAAUACAUUCAAAAAAACAAUGAUUGCGUAAUUUUCUCAGUACAGAUUUUAUAUAAUUCAUGUUAAAUUAUUACCUAUGUGUGCUAUAUUGUUCGUACGUUUUGUAUGAUGCAUUUUAGACGAUUAUAUAUUUAUGCAUAAAAAGACCAAGAUUUUUGACACUCAAUUUAUAUCGAAGAUUCUAACGGUGAUACAAAUUAAACGAACAAUUUAUGGAAUUUGAACUAGAAAUCUGAAUAUUUUACACAAAGCUGAUAUUUCCAUAUUUGUAUAUAUAGGCAGCGAAAAACAUGGCAAAAUUCGAUGGUACUGCGCAUCGGUACUUUCUACUUCGUAAAACACGAAAUUAAAACAAAAAAAAAAAUUAUAUCAAA